AUGGAGGGGCGUCUGGCCUCGGGGACGGAGCCCGGGUCCCCGCCCGCCCCAACGCCCGCCGCCGGCCGAUCCCCGACCCCCGCGUCUCCAUCGUGGGUCACGGUGGUCGGAUAUGCGCCCGGGUCCGUGGGACAGGCGGGCGCAGAGAUCCCUUGUGUUGGCGGGGGUGGGUGCGGCGAGGUUCAGGCGCCUCCGCGUAGCAUCGUGGGGCUGGGGCUGGGGGCGCCGCGGAUUGCUAUGCUUUCCGCACCUUCCCGGCUCUGAAGCCUCGAGAACACGGAUAGGCAGCAGUAGUUUAAUGGCGAGUUUGCCUGCUGGGAACUAGGGGCCUGCUGGGGUCUGAGUUCUUGGCUGGCCCUGGAACACGAGGUUGCCAGGUGUGUGACGGCAGCAGGUAGGAGUGACCCGCUGGUGCAGUGAUGAGCAGGAAGUACAGGAAGGACGGCGGCUGUUGGCCUGUGAACCGGGGCAAGAACGACCAGCCAGCACGGUCCGGACCGAGGUCCGUGGGCCCAGGUUGGUCCUAGGCAGCUGGUCCGUGGGAUAGACCUGCACGUGUGGCUCUUGUCACUCUAGGACUGGCUUCAGGACAGAUCCUGCCAUGAGCCCAGGGCAGCGCCCGCAGUUCUCCAGGAGAGCGCGCCAGAGUGGAGCCAGGGGGGUGCGCGACUCAGUACGGGGGCCACGUACGUCCGUCCCGUCUGCCGGCAAGGGCAGCAGCGAGCCGGGGGAAGUCAUGGCCUUGGGAAUGUCCUCUGAUGAAGAAGAACCUGCAGGCUUAUAGAAUAACUUUUGUGGGGAACGUUGGUGUGCUGAAAAGUUCUGUGUGCUGUUCCCCCUCGGUGUGGAUCCGCAGUGCUGGGGCAGCAGGCGUGACACAGAAGUGCGAGCGGAGACCGUCUGGACCCCCGACUCCAGGGAGACUAGAGGUGACAGCCAGCCCAGUGAAGGGGACGGGAGGAGCUGGGGGCGGGGGCGGCAGCCCAGCAGGCGCCCCUCGUCUCGGGGCCCUAAUCCUGGCUCCCGGCGGGUGGUCGGGGGAGCUGCAGGGUCUCCCAGGCGAGCAGAGCCCACGGUCCUGAGCUGUUCUUCGCUGUGUUUGGGUCACCUCUCCCCAUCCAAGGGGAGAAAUCUAGAUGAGGUUUAAGAAUUGGUGCUUCCAGAACGUGGAUCUCAUAGCUGAAACCUCGGAAGACAUGUUUUCAGCACAAGGUGUUGAAGUGAACGGAAGGAUUCAACCCCUUUUCGAGGAGGGCGUCUCCAUGUGGGCAGAACUGGAGGAGAAAUGGGUCUUGAAUAAACUGUCUUGACUUGCA